rnacentral:lncRNA from 1 species
CAGGUUGUGUAGUCUAGGACAGGUCAGUUCCAGACAGACAGACAGGUUGUGUAGUCUAGGACAGGUCCGUUACAGACAGACAGGUUGUGUAGUCUAGGACAGGUCAGUUACAGACAGACAGACAGGUUGUGUAGUCUAGGACAGGUCAGUUCCAGACAGACAGACAGGUUGUGUAGUCUAGGACAGGUCCGUUCCAGACAGACAGUCUAGGACAGGUCAACGACAGACAGGCUGUGUAGUGACAGACAGCUGAUAUGAACAGUGAUUAGAGUGUAGUAAUAACAAUAGAAAAGAUAAUUACGACAGUGACAUUAAAGACCUAACAUUUAUCCCCCGUUAACCACAGUCCUGGAAUCAGAUGUUAACUCCUGUCUCUACAUAGUGGAGGUUAGACCCCCGUUAACCACAGUCCUGGAAUCAGAUGUUAACUCCUGUCUCUACAUAGUGGAGGUUAGGACCCCCUGUUAACCACAGUCCUGGAAUCAGAUGUUAACUCCUGUCUCUACAUAGUGGAGGUUAGGGACCCCCUGUUAACCACAGUCCUGGAAUCAGAUGUUAACUCCUGUCUCUACAUAGUGGAGGUUAGGGACCCCCUGUUAACCACAGUCCUGGAAUCAGAUGUUAACUCCUGUCUACAUAGUGGAGGUUAGACCCCCGUUAACCACAGUCCUGGAAUCAGAUGUUAACUCCUGUCUACAUAGUGGAGGUUAGACCCCCGUUAACCACAGUCCUGGAAUCAGAUGUUAACUCCUGUCUCUACAUAGUGGAGGUUAGACCCCCCGUUAACCACAGUCCUGGAAUCAGAUGUUAACUAGGUUAAGGGAUCUGAUGCUAGAUAGACAGAAAGGUUCAACCUCCUCGUUAUUCCGUCGACCCCCAGACAGGGGGGGGGGGCCCUGAUGAACUCCAGACAGGGGGGCCCUAAUGAACUCCAGCCGGGGGGGGCCUAAUGAACUCCAGACAGGGGGGGGGGGCCCUAAUGAACUCCAGACAGUUGUACAAUAACAGAUGUCAACAGAAACCAAAUCCCUUGUGUCUUUCACUCCCAAAUAAACACCGUCUCUCCCUCUUUCUGAGAAAGUUGAUCCACUCCGGUCACCAGUUCAUAUAUACACGCUGACCUCAGGGGUUAAAGUUCAUGUACAUAUUGACCUCAGGGGUUAAAGUUCAUAUACACGUUGACCUCGGGGUUGCUGUGUGUCAGGGUCAUAGGUCAGGGUCCUAAGCAGUGACCUCAGAAGUUGUGGCCGGUAACGGGAGGAGGGACACAGUGUACCGGACAGUGGAGUCGUCUCCAGCUAAGGACUAACGGUGAAGCAACAGUCACAGCUAAAUGAGCAUGUGCAAAAUCCCUGCUUAGUACACACACACACCCCUCACCGGGGCUGUAGAAGUUUAGUUAGAUUCACUCUGUGAUCAGAGACGAGCUUUAAAAAAACAGUCAGAACAGCCAGGAAUACUGUCUACAGGACACAGUCUCUGAGCUGAGAGAGGAGAGGGGGAAGAGAGAGAGAGAGAGAGAGCGGGAAGAGAGAGAGAGAGAGAGGAGCGGGGAAGAGAGAGAGAGAGGAGCGGGGAAGAGAGAGAGAGAGAGGAGCGGGGAAGAGAGAGAGAGAGAGGAGCGGGGAAGAGAGAGAGAGAGAGGAGAGGGGAAGAGAGAGAGAGAGAGGGAAGAGAGAGAGAGGAGCGGGGAAGAGAGAGAGAGGAGCGGGGAAGAGAGAGAGAGGAGCGGGGAAGAGAGAGAGAGAGAGGAAACGGGAAGAGAGAGAGGAAACGGGAAGAGAGAGAGGAGAGGAAACGGGAAGAGAGAGAGGAGAGGAAACGGGAAGAGAGAGAGGAGAGGAAACGGGAAGAGAGAGAGGAGAGGAAACGGGAAGAGAGAGAGGAGAGGAAACGGGAAGAGAGGAAACGGCGAGGUGGAAAGACUGAGGAGAGGAUUCCAGGGGUGUUGUCGAGGUGUUCCCUCACAACAGGAAGGGGUUGGUGGUCCCAGGAGGAUGUGUGCCCGCUGUGGGGGGCAGAGCUGAACUGAACAGGGGCUGGGACAUAGACACAGAGGUUGGGAUACCCCCCAUCCCUCCAAUCCCGGGGACCAUGUGGCCCGUCAGGGGGACCAUCCCCAGGGGCUGGGGUGGUGGCAAGGAGGAGAGGGGCAGAGGGUCUGCCAUGGAGGACAAGCUGCUAAACCCUGCACCACCUCCCAGACUCAGGCCUGGCAUAGGGCUGAUCCUCAUCUGGUUUAAGGUAGGGGG